AGUGAACGCUGGCGGUAGGCCUAACACAUGCAAGUCGAACGGCAGCACAGUAAGAGCUGGCUCUUACGGGUGGCGAGUGGCGGACGGGUGAGGAAUACAUCGGAAUCUACUUUUUCGUGGGGGAUAACGUAGGGAAACUUACGCUAAUACCGCAUACGACCUACGGGUGAAAGCAGGGGAUCUUCGGACCUUGCGCGAUUGAAUGAGCCGAUGUCGGAUUAGCUAGUUGGCGGGGUAAAGGCCCACCGAGGCGACGAUCCGUAGCUGGUCUGAGAGGAUGAUCAGCCACACUGGAACUGAGACACGGUCCAGACUCCUACGGGAGGCAGCAGUGGGGAAUAUUGGACAAUGGGCGCAAGCCUGAUCCAGCCAUACCGCGUGGGUGAAGAAGGCCUUCGGGUUGUAAAGCCCUUUUGUUGGGAAAGAAAAGCAGCAGGUUAAUACCCCGCUGUUCUGACGGUACCCAAAGAAUAAGCACCGGCUAACUUCGUG
rnacentral:rRNA from 1 species